UGAAAGCUUAAAGCCUACCCGAUUUCCGCUCUCCCGUUUCUUACUCUUUUUCAACAACCGUCUCUUCGGUUUCACUUCCUCUCAGAUCUCUAACCAUCCAAACACGCUCUCUUUUCAACUGCAUUCUCUUCUAUGGCUACCAAAUUCUUCAUCUACGCUCUUUUAGCCUUCUUUGCUCCACAAGUUACUCUCUCUGCAACUCCACCGCCGGAAUCAGAGAGAGUAACUUGUAUAGCAAAG
rnacentral:misc_RNA from 1 species